rnacentral:rRNA from 1 species
UACGUAGGGGGCUAGCGUUGUCCGGAUUUAUUGGGCGUAAAGAGCGUGUAGGCGGCCAGGUAGGUCUGCUGUGAAAACUCGAGGCUCAACCUCGAGACGUCGGCGGAAACCAUCUGGCUAGAGUCCGGAAGAGGAGAGUGGAAUUCCUGGUGUAGCGGUGAAAUGCGCAGAUAUCAGGAAGAACACCCGUGGCGAAGGCGGCUCUCUGGGACGGAACUGACGCUGAGACGCGAAAGCGUGGGGAGCGAACAGG